AAAUAAAUUUUGGAUAGUAAAAUUAAAUUUAAAAAAUCUCAACAGGUGAUAAGAAACUGCAAUGCUUGUAGCGACAAAUUAUGGUAAUGUGCUCAGCUUUUGUAUUAUUGACAAAAAGUAUACAGUAAUAAAUACACCCAUAACCCUCAAACUAUUGUUUACUAUCAAAAGAAUCUAACAGGAAAAGCUAUUAAAAGUUUUUUAAGAGAAACAAGUAAAACGAGGUAAGUACAGAAAAAGGCUUUAUACGCACUCAAUCGUAUUGAAGCAAAGUUGGAACCCUUCUGCGAUCUGAAACUUGCAAUGAAGUAAAGGAAAAAAGCCAUACUGUCGAGACGAUGUGUAUAAUGUCUUAAAGAAUAAAACUCCGUAAAAUAUUAGAAUAUUGACGUCGGAUAUGUCCCCUCGGUUAACAAAACUUUAAACUUCAUGAAUUUAGGAAUAUUGCGGGGAGGGAAUACAUUAAUAAUUCAAACAAUAGGAGAAAGAAAUCUUUGACGGCACACUCAAGAAUAAGUCAUGGACUACGGACUAAAAUUAUCAAAUUUCUCAGUAACUUAAGUUGUUUUUUCGUUCCAUCAUCUUACGAAGUAGAUUGGUUUAAGUAUAAAUAGAUCGAUUAGAUCUAGUGUCAUUUAGAUUUGUUUUCCAGUAU